rnacentral:rRNA from 2 species
GAGUUUGAUCGUGGCUCAGAUUGAACGCUGGCGGCAGGCCUAACACAUGCAAGUCGAGCGGAUGACGGGAGCUUGCUCCUUGAUUCAGCGGCGGACGGGUGAGUAAUGCCUAGGAAUCUGCCUGGUAGUGGGGGACAACGUUUCGAAAGGAACGCUAAUACCGCAUACGUCCUACGGGAGAAAGCAGGGGACCUUCGGGCCUUGCGCUAUCAGAUGAGCCUAGGUCGGAUUAGCUAGUUGGUGGGGUAAUGGCUCACCAAGGCGACGAUCCGUAACUGGUCUGAGAGGAUGAUCAGUCACACUGGAACUGAGACACGGUCCAGACUCCUACGGGAGGCAGCAGUGGGGAAUAUUGGACAAUGGGCGAAAGCCUGAUCCAGCCAUGCCGCGUGUGUGAAGAAGGUCUUCGGAUUGUAAAGCACUUUAAGUUGGGAGGAAGGGCAGUAAGUUAAUACCUUGCUGUUUUGACGUUACCGACAGAAUAAGCACGGCUAACUCUGUGCCAGCCGCCGACCG